rnacentral:rRNA from 1 species
UACGGAGGGUGCGAGCGUUGUCCGGAAUCACUGGGCGUAAAGGGCGCGUAGGCGGCAGUGCAAGCGUGGGGUGAAAGUCCGGGGCUCAACCCCGGAUCGGCCUUGCGAACUGCAGUGCUUGAGCACAGUAGAGGCGGGUGGAAUUCCGGGUGUAGCGGUGGAAUGCGUAGAGAUCCGGAAGAACACCGGUGGCGAAGGCGGCCCGCUGGGCUGUGGCUGACGCUGAGGCGCGACAGCGUGGGGAGCAAACAGG